UCCGCCCGCUGGCGGCGUGCUUAACACAUGCAAGUCGAACGGAAAGGCCCUGCUUUUGUGGGGUGCUCGAGUGGCGAACGGGUGAGUAACACGUGAGUAACCUGCCCUUGACUUUGGGAUAACUUCAGGAAACUGGGGCUAAUACCGGAUAGGAGCUCCUGCUGCAUGGUGGGGGUUGGAAAGUUUCGGCGGUUGGGGAUGGACUCGCGGCUUAUCAGCCUGUUGGUGGGGUAGUGGCUUACCAAGGCUUUGACGGGUAGCCGGCCUGAGAGGGUGACCGGCCACAUUGGGACUGAGAUACGGCCCAGACUCCUACGGGAGGCAGCAGUGGGGAAUAUUGCACAAUGGGCGGAAGCCUGAUGCAGCAACGCCGCGUGCGGGAUGACGGCCUUCGGGUUGUAAACCGCUUUCGCCUGUGACGAAGCGUGAGUGACGGUAAUGGGUAAAGAAGCACCGGCUAACUACGUG
rnacentral:rRNA from 1 species